rnacentral:lncRNA from 1 species
UUAAGAUGGUUUAGUGGCAGAAUGCUUGAUUGGAUACAUGAAACCCUGGGUUUUCUCUGUAGUACUCUGUCAGUAUAGCUGGAGCAUAAUUUUGUCUAAAGGAGACUUAACAGUUUUCCCAGUCUUGUGACUCUAAUAUUUAUGUGACUAAAAUUUAGAAGCCUGUGUUAAUUUCCAGCAUUUCAGAUCCAAGUGGUAGAUAACUGCUGCCAAUAAUGAACAAAAAUAAAGAGGAUCUGAUUGUCUGAGUGAGACAUUGGAAAAGUUAGGGCUUCAUGGAAUCUCAAUAGUAACUUUUUCUAUAUUACACCACCAACUGCUUGAUGUUGCCAUCAAAAAUAUCAAAAAAAUGCAAGCAGGCACAAGAGUCCAGCAAAGCUAGAUCUCUAUUUCAGUUAGGUAGCAAAAACUAUCUAGUCAGAACAACAGCAUAAACUCUGGAGGGAACUGUCUGUGUCUUUGAAAGUUCAUCUUGGCACCACGGUCCUCUACCUCUUGGUAUUUGACUGUGGGCCCGAGAGCAAUCUUGAAAUAAAAAUCCUGUGGCAGUUUUCAGCAAGACUGUUUCUCGUGAGUGACUUGGGGUGUCGCAUCUCCUGAGUCAGAACGUCGGGGAGUUCUGUUGACCUCACAUUGUGGGUCUUUCAUUUGGUGUAUUGGCCCGGGAAAUGAGACCACCCCUCACACACAAGACCUGACUUGGAGGUAUCAGGAUCCCCUCUGGAAUGUGCAUGCCGGUCAGUGUGUCUGUUCUGAGUGUCUGGUUUUUUUUUUUGUUUGUUUUUUUUUUGUUUUUUUUUUUUUUUUCAGUUUUCUGAAGCGAAUGUGAGCUUGUUGUGUUGGUUUGUCUGUCUGUGUCUUGUCCUUUGUUUCUGAAGCACAGCACAGUCUGAGUUUGGAUCUGCCUGAGUUUAGAUACUGAUCAGCCUGAGUUUAUUCUCAUCAGCCUAAGUUUGGAUCUGCCUGAGUUUGGUUUCUCUGGUUUUGGUCCUUCUGGUGGAAGCGGGUGAUGGUGUUUGUAGAUGAUGGGGUUUUCUUAAACACACAUGUUUGGUAUUUGCAGCUAGGAGCACCACAGGCUGCUGCCCGGGGGCACACCCUGAGAAGUGGGGAGAGCCAGGGAUGCCUGGUAGUCUCUGGAGAUCAGUCAGAGGGAACAAGUUUUGGUGAUGAAGCAGAAGGUUCCCCCUCCGAAAUUGUGUAGUUCUUUUGCCUGCUUGUGGAGGACUAGAAAUGAUUGUGUGUGACUGGAUCUGUUUGUUUCUGAUUUGUGUGUUUUUGUGUAUGUGUUUAGAGCUAUGUGAAAAUCUAGAGAAGUGAAGGUAAUUCUCAUAGGUGUUUUAUAACCUGACUAGAGAUAGUUUACACAUGAGAGACCAGGUUUGAGAAAAGCAGUACUCUCUGACUAUCUGGGUAAAAUGUGGUG